rnacentral:tRNA from 1 species
AGUAGAAUGGCUGAGAUUAAGGUGAUAGAUUGUAAAUCUAUAAAGGAGUAUUUAACUCUUCUACUA